rnacentral:rRNA from 1 species
AAAGGCCUACCAAGACAAUGAUGCAUAGCCGAGUUGAGAGACUGAUCGGCCACAUUGGGACUGAGACACGGCCCAAACUCCUACGGGAGGCUGCAGUAGGGAAUCUUCCACAAUGGGCGAAAGCCUGAUGGAGCAACGCCGCGUGUGUGAUGAAGGCUUUCGGGUCGUAAAGCACUGUUGUAUGGGAAGAACAGCUAGAGUAGGGAAUGACUUUAGUUUGACGGUACCAUACCAGAAAGGGACGGCUAAAUACGUGCCAGCAGCCGCGGUAAUACGUAUGUCCCGAGCGUUAUCCGGAUUUAUUGGGCGUAAAGCGAGCGCAGACGGUUGAUUAA